AGUGAAUAGAUACCCUGGUAGUCCACACUGUAAACGAUGAUUACUAGAUUUGGCCGCAAAGGUCAGAGUCCAAAGCGAAAAAGUGUUUAGUAAUCCACCUGGGGAGUACGUCCGCAAGGAUGAAACUCAAAGGAAUUGACGGGGCCCGCACAAGCGGUGGAGCAUGUGGUUAAAUUCGAUGAUAACGCGAGGAACCGUUACCUGGGCUUGAAAGUUAGUGACCGCUCCUGAAAGGGAGCUUCCCGCAAGGGCACGAAACUAGGUUGCUGCAUGGCUGUCGUCAGCUCGUGCCGUGAGGUGUCGGAUUAAGUUCCAUAACGAAGCGCAACCCUAUCUCUAGUUGCCAGCGGGUAAUGCCGGGGACGUCUAGAGAAACUGCCCGUGUAAGCGGUGAGGAAGUGGGGAUGACGUCAAGUCAUCACGG
rnacentral:rRNA from 1 species